GUUUUCCCACCUCCUCCUCCCCCCCAUCCCCUCCCCGCCCCUCGGCCCCUCCCGCUUUUCCGUCGGAAUUCCGCACUCUCCGCGUUUCUCCCAUCCCCUCCACGCUCAGGGCUCAUUCCCAGCGCUUGGAAUGCGCCGAAUUUUUGGGAAAUUCUCCCAAGUUUGGUUUUUUCCUUUCCCGCAGCCCCCCCGCCAUGAGGCACUGCUUCUACAACGAGACCGUCGGCUUUUUCUACAACAACAGCCGCAAGGAGCUCAGCGCGCACUGGCGGCCCAAGGACGUGCUGGUGGUGGCCCUGGGGCUAGCGGUCAGCGCCGUGGUGCUGCUCACCAACCUGCUGGUCAUCGCCGCCAUCGCCGCCAACCGCCGCUUCCACUACCCCAUCUACUACCUGCUGGCCAACCUGGCGGCCGCCGACCUCUUCGCGGGCGUGGCCUACAUGUUCCUCAUGUUCCACACGGGCCCGCGCACGGCCCAGCUGUCGCUCAAGACUUGGUUCAUCCGCCAGAGCUUGCUGGACACCAGCUUGACCGCCUCGGUGGUCAACCUGCUGGCCAUCGCCGUGGAGAGGCACCGGACGGUGCUGACCAUGCAGCUGCACAGCGAGAUGUCGGCGCAGCGCGUGGUGGGCUUGAUCUUCUUCAUCUGGGCCACGGCGCUGCUGCUGGGGCUGAUCCCGUCCUACGGCUGGCACUGCCUGUGCUCGCUGGAGAGCUGCUCCAAGAUGGCGCCGCUCUACAGCCGCAGCUACCUGACCUUCUGGGCCGUGUCCAACCUGCUGGUCUUCGUGGUCAUGGUGCUGGUCUACGGCCACAUCUUCGUCUACGUGCGCAGGAAGAUGGCGCGCGUGGCGCGGCACACGGGCGCCCACCCGCGGCACCGCGACACCAUGGUGGGGCUGGUCAAGACGGUCACCAUUAUCUUGGGUGGGUGUCAUUAGGGGUCAUUAGGGGUCAUUAAGUGGGUUGGUCACCAUCAUCCUGGGUGGGUGGUUAAUUAGGGGUCAUUAGGGGUCAUUAGGAGUCAUUAAGUGGGUUGGUCAUCAUCAUCUUGGGUGGGUGGUUAAUUAGGGGUUAAUUGGGUUGGGUGGGUUGUUAGAUGGGGUCAUUAAGUGGGUUGGUCAUCAUCAUCUUGGGUGGGUGGUUAAUUAGGAGUAAUUAGGGGUCAUUACACGGGCGCCCACCCACGCCACCAUGACACCAUGGUGGGGCUGGUCAAGACGGUCACCAUUAUCUUGGGUGGGUGUAAUUAGGGGUCAUUAGGGUUAAUUAGGGGUUAAUUGGGUUGGGUGAGUUGUUAGAGAGGUUGGUCACCAUCAUCUUGGGUGGGUGGUAAAUUAGGGGUAAUUAGGGGUCAUUACACGGGCACCCACCCGCGGCACCGCGACACCAUGGUGGGGCUGGUCAAGACGGUCACCAUUAUCUUGGGUGGGUGUCAUUAGGGGUCAUUAGGGGUUAAUUGGGGGUCAUUAAGUGGGUUGGUCACCAUCAUCUUGGGUGGGUGGUAAAUUAGGGGUAAUUAGGGGUCAUUACACGGGCGCCCACCCGCGGCACCGCGACACCAUGGUGGGGCUGGUCAAGGUCCCCAUCAUCCUCGGUGGGUAGUUAAUUAGGGAUAAUUAGGGGUCAUUACACGGGCGCCCACCCGCGGCACCGCGACACCAUGGUGGGGCUGGUCAAGGUCCCCAUCAUCCUCGGUGGGUAGUUAAUUAGGGAUAAUUAGGGGUCAUUACACGGGCGCCCACCCGCGGCACCGCGACACCAUGGUGGGGCUGGUCAAGGUCCCCAUCAUCCUCGGUGGGUAGUUAAUUAGGGAUAAUUAGGGGUCAUUACACGGGCGCCCACCCGCGGCACCGCGACACCAUGGUGGGGCUGGUCAAGACGGUCACCAUUAUCUUGGGUGGGUGUCAUUAGGGGUCAUUAGGGGUCAUUAAGAGUCAUUAAGUGGGUUGGUCAUCAUCAUCUUGGGUGGGUGGUUAAUUAGGGGUUAAUUGGGUUGGGUGGGUUGUUAGAUGGGGUCAUUAAGUGGGUUGGUCAUCAUCAUCUUGGGUGGGUGGUUAAUUAGGAGUAAUUAGGGGUCAUUACACAGGCGCCCACCCACGCCACCACGACACCAUGGUGGGGCUGGUCAAGAUGGUCACCAUUAUCUUGGGUGGGUGUAAUUAGGGGUCAUUAGGGUUAAUUAGGGGUUAAUUGGGUUGGGUGAGUUGUUAGAGAGGUUGGUCACCAUUAUCUUGGGUGCCUUCGUGAUCUGCUGGACGCCAGGCCAGGUGGUGCUGCUGCUGGACGGGCUGGGUUGCCAGAGCUGCGACGUGCUGGCCGU